rnacentral:rRNA from 1 species
GUGCCAGCAGCCGCGGUAAUACCGGCAGCUCAAGUGAUGUCCCAUAUUAUUGGGCCUAAAGCGUCCGUAGCUGGCCGCGCAAGUCCGUCGGGAAAUCCACCUGCCCAACAGGUGGGCGUCCGGCGGAAACUGUGUGGCUUGGAACCGGAAGGCUCAGAGGGUACGUCCGGGGUAGGAGUGAAAUCCUGUAAUCCUGGACGGACCACCGGUGGCGAAAGCGCCUCGAGAAGACGGACCCGACAGUGAGGGACGAAAGCCAGGGUCUCGAACCGGAUUAGAUACCCGGGUAGUCC